UUGGAUUUUCAGCCAAUCAGAAAGCAGCACGACUGAAAUAGAACUCCCGUGAGGUCACACAUGUGAUGUCAUCACCAUUGUCAUCAGUGAGGGGCCUAAACUGUAGGAACCUAGGAAUACAACUUCAUACCCGCCUGUGACUGAUGCACACCUUCCAGGCUGUGGGGCAGCACAUACACGGACACAUUGGCCCAAAUUCUAGAGGUAACCUCCUUUAGUAUGCCCAGAGGAAGGGCAGUACAGUAGCCAUGGAUUCCCUACAGGUUUCCUCCCCUCUGGAGGUUUUUCCUGUCCUGAGUUAGUUACUGUCCGCUCUUUGUGAGUGAUGGAGGUUACAUAAAAUCCCUACACAAACAUUUUUGUAAAUAAUAAAUAAAGUUCCCUUUGUUUAAACUGUUCUUUGACUUGUUCGACUCAUUUAUUUUAUUUGUGUGUGUGAAAAACAGUGUUAGCAAAAUGUGGAUGACAGAAGUGUCCAAAACUGCUGCCCGAUCUGCCCCAUGUGAUGAGCCAAUCAGAAAGCAGCACGACUGAAAUAGAACUCCCGUGAGGUCACACAUGUGAUGUCAUCACCAUUGUCAUCAGUGAGGGGCCUAAACUGUAGGAACCUAGGAAUACAACUUCAUACCCGCCUGUGACUGAUGCACACCUUCCAGGCUGUGGGGCAGCACAUACACGGACACAUUGGCCCAAAUUCUAGAGGUAACCUCCUUUAGUAUGCCCAGAGGAAGGGCAGUACAGUAGCCAUGGAUUCCCUACAGGUUUCCUCCCCUCUGGAGGUUUUUCCUGUCCUGAGUUAGUUACUGUCCGCUCUUUGUGAGUGAUGGAGGUUACAUAAAAUCCCUACACAAACAUUUUUGUAAAUAAUAAAUAAAGUUCCCUUUGUUUAAACUGUU